rnacentral:rRNA from 1 species
CCAGACUCCUACGGGAGGCAGCAGUGGGGGAUAUUGCACAAUGGGGGGAACCCUGAUGCAGCGACGCCGCGUGGGUGAAGGAGUAUUUCGGUAUGUAAAGCCCUAUCGGCAGGGAAGAAGCAAGACGGUACCUGACUAAGAAGCCCCGGCUAACUACGUGCCAGCAGCCGCGGUAAUACGUAGGGGGCGAGCGUUAUCCGGAUUCACUGGGUGUAAAGGGAGCGUAGACGGCCAAGCAAGCCAGGGGUGAAAGCCCGGGGCCCAACCCCGGGACUGCUCUGGAAACUGCGGCGCUGGAGUACGGGAGGGGCAGGCGGAAUUCCUGGUGUAGCGGUGAAAUGCGUAGAUAUCAGGAGGAACACCGGCGGCGAAGGCGGCCUGCUGGACCGUGACUGACGUUGAGGCUCGAGAGCGUGGGGAGCAAACAGGAUUAGAUACCCUCGUAAAU